UACGUAGGUCCCGAGCGUUGUCCGGAUUUAUUGGGCGUAAAGCGAGCGCAGGUGGUUUAUUAAGUCUGGUGUAAAAGGCAGAGGCUCAACCAUUGUAUGCAUUGGAAACUGGUAGACUUGAGUGCAGGUGAGGAGAGUGGAAUUCCAUGUGUAGCGGUGAAAUGCGUAGAUAUAUGGAGGAACACCGGUGGCGAAAGCGGCUCUCUGGCCUGUAACUGACACUGAGGCUCGAAAGCGUGGGGAGCAAACAGG
rnacentral:rRNA from 1 species